CGCGAGCGAUCAAUUGUCGCGAUACACCGCCGCCGCCGAGUUAGUUAACCGCGUUUGACGGGUGUCCUAAAAAUGUAUAUACAGGGUGAUCGAUCCUCGGUACGACGUUCGUUCUGUCGAAAAGUACAAGCUUUUUCGGAAUUAUUUCGAAAGAAAUAAGCGGCUCUGAAAUGUUACAUUGCCGUUGUAUUUUGUCACCCUUGUUUUCGAGCGCGAGAACCCCAAUUGUUUUUCGAAUAGCGACUGGUAUCGAAAAUCAAACAGAUAGACGAUUACGAUUAGUUCAAAUGCAAAUUCGGUGUUGAUACGUACAAUUGCCGUCAACCCGUCGACGAGAUGAUGUUCUCCGCGUGUACGUUUGGGCUGGGGAAAAGUAGUGGAACGUCAUUCGUACGAAUACUGCUCCGCUACUGGAUCCCCCUAUCCGAACUCAAUAGCAGAAUAUCUCGUCGAUGAAAAUUAUUAUAAACGUCAGCG